AGAGUUUGAUCCUGGCUCAGGAUGAACGCUAGCGGCAGGCCUAAUACAUGCAAGUCGAACGAGAUUGAGGAGCUUGCUCUUCAUGAAAGUGGCGCACGGGUGCGUAACGCGUAUGCAACCUACCUUAAUCAGGGGGAUAGCCUCUCGAAAGAGAGAUUAACACCGCAUAAAAUCACAGUCCGGCAUCGGAUAAUGAUCAAAUAUUUAUAGGAUUAAGAUGGGCAUGCGUGACAUUAGCUAGUUGGUAAGGUAGCGGCUUACCAAGGCUACGAUGUCUAGGGGAUCUGAGAGGAUGACCCCCCACACUGGUACUGAGACACGGACCAGACUCCUACGGGAGGCAGCAGUAAGGAAUAUUGGUCAAUGGGGGCAACCCUGAACCAGCCAUGCCGCGUGCAGGAAGACGGCCCUACGGGUUGUAAACUGCUUUUAUACGGGAAUAAACCUCUGCUCGUGAGCAGAGUUGAAUGUACUGUAAGAAUAAGGAUCGGCUAACUCCGUGCCAGCAGCCGCGGUAAUACGGAGGAUCCAAGCGUUAUCCGGAUUUAUUGGGUUUAAAGGGUGCGUAGGCGGCCUAUUAAGUCAGGGGUGAAAGACGGUGGCUCAACCAUCGCAGUGCCCUUGAUACUGAUGGGCUUGAUUACACUUGAGGUAGGCGGAAUGUGACAAGUAGCGGUGAAAUGCAUGGAUAUGUCACAGAACACCAAUUGCGAAGGCAGCUUACUAAGGUGUUAAUGAUGCUGAGGCACGAAAGCGUGGGGAUCAAACAGGAUUAGAUACCCUGGUAGUCCACGCUGUAAACUUUGAUCACUCGCUGUUGGCGAUACACUGUCAGCGGCUAAGCGAAAGCGUUAAGUGAUCCACCUGGGGAGUACGAUCGCAAGAUUGAAACUCAAAGGAAUUGACGGGGGCCCGCACAAGCGGUGGAGCAUGUGGUUUAAUUCGAUGAUACGCGAGGAACCUUACCAGGGCUUGAAAGUUAGCGACUAUAGGUGAAAGCUUAUAUCCCUUCGGGGCGCGAAACUAGGUGCUGCAUGGCUGUCGUCAGCUCGUGCCGUGAGGUGUUGGGUUAAGUCCCGCAACGAGCGCAACCCCUACCAUUAGUUGCCAGCAGGUUAAGCUGGGGACUCUAAUGGAACUGCCCGCGCAAGCGGUGAGGAAGGUGGGGAUGACGUCAAGUCAUCACGGCCCUUACGUCCUGGGCUACACACGUGCUACAAUGGCCAGUACAACGGGUUGCUACACAGCGAUGUGAUGCUAAUCUCUAAAGCUGGUCUCAGUUCGGAUUGAAGUCUGCAACUCGACUUCAUGAAGCUGGAAUCGCUAGUAAUCGCGUAUCAGCAAUGACGCGGUGAAUACGUUCCCGGGCCUUGUACACACCGCCCGUCAAGCCAUGGAAAUCGGGAGUGCCUAAAGUCGAUUGCCGCAAGGCGUCGCCUAAGGUAAAACCGAUAACUGGGGCUAAGUCGUAACAAGGUA
rnacentral:rRNA from 1 species